CUUAGUCGGCAAAGGUUAUUUUCAGUGAUCAAAAUGAUUUCAGGAAUAAAACUAAAAUUUUUUUUGGUGGGAACACAAAUUUGCCGCCUGAUUUUGGUUUAUGUUUAAUAUUUAUUUUAUUUUAUUUCUCUGUAUGUAUCGAUACAUACACCAAAGGAAAAACCAAUCAACACAUUGUUUGCUCUCACUCCCGUCGAACUGCCUAUCGCUCUCCGUCGGUUCACUGUCUCAUCGUCACCGUCACUCACCAUUGCUCACCGUCUCAAGCCCAUUGAUUUUGAUUUAGAGGCUUGAUCUCUCUUGGUAAAUAAUGAAUAUAUUCAUGGAGAUUUGAAGUAUUUUACCCUCAACUUAGAAACAUAGUUCAUUCCACAAACAACAUUCAACCGAUUGGUCUGUUCUCGAAACAACAUUCAACAUGCAAAUUGCUGUCAAUCUGGUUCAAGAAACAGACGAGAGCAGAGGUUGUCUUAGAUGUUGUACUAAGCCCCCUCUGAUAAUUGCUGUCAACAAGCCAUCCAAGAGACUGAGAAUUCGAGGCCGAACAGUUAAGAAAUCAAGCAUUUCAGAGGAUUUUUGGAGCACCAACACUUGUGAG